rnacentral:rRNA from 1 species
UGUCGGUCAAUACCCGGCAGCUUGACAUUACCUUUAGAAGAAGCACCGGCUAACUCCGUGCCAGCAGCGCGGUAAUACGGAGGGUGCAAGCGUUAAUCGGAAUUACUGGGCGUAAAGCGUGCGUAGGCGGUUCGUUAAGUCAGAUGUGAAAGCCCCGGGCUUAACCUGGGAACUGCAUUUGAAACUGGCGGACUUGAGUUGAGUAGAGGGGAGUGGAAUUUCAGGUGUAGAGGUGAAAAUGCGUAGAUAUACUGAAGGAACACCAGUGGCGAAGGCGACUCCCUGGACUCAAACUGACGCUGAGGUACGAAAGCGUGGGUAGCAAACAGGAUUAGAUACCCUGGUAGUCCACGCUGUAAACGAUGUCAACUAGCCGUUGGUACCUAUUUACAGGAUUAGUGGCGCAGCUAACGCAUUAAGUUGACCGCCUGGGGAGUAC